UGUCCUUGCCAUUGACUUGAAUGUGACAAAUAUCCGAAAUGCUUAGAUGAUUCACAAAUGGAUUUAUGAUGAAAUUCAUUUGCUUCCUGAUCUUAUCAGUAUUCAAGAGGAAACAUCAACUGAACUGAAAAACAUGACAAGUUUUAAUUAACAUAAUUUUUUCAUUAAAAUACACCUCAUACACUGGAAAA